rnacentral:rRNA from 1 species
AUUGAACGCUGGCGGCAUGCUUUACACAUGCAAGUCGAACGGUAACAGCACUUCGGUGGCUGACGAGUGGCGAACGGGUGAGUAAUACAUCGGAACGUGCCUAGUAGUGGGGGAUAACUACUCGAAAGAGUAGCUAAUACCGCAUGAGAUCUAAGGAUGAAAGCAGGGGACCUUCGGGCCUUGCGCUACUAGAGCGGCUGAUGGCUGAUUAGGUAGUUGGUGGGAUAAAAGCUUACCAAGCCGACGAUCUGUAGCUGGUCUGAGAGGACGACCAGCCACACUGGGACUGAGACACGGCCCAGACUCCUACGGGAGGCAGCAGUGGGGAAUUUUGGACAAUGGGCGCAAGCCUGAUCCAGCAAUGCCGCGUGCAGGAUGAAGGCCUUCGGGUUGUAAACUGCUUUUGUACGGAACGAAAAGCCCUCUUCUAAUACAGGAGGGUCAUGACGGUACCGUAAGAAUAAGCACCGGCUAACUACGUG